rnacentral:rRNA from 1 species
GCCCAGACUCCUACGGGAGGCAGCAGUGGGGAAUAUUGCACAAUGGGGGAAACCCUGAUGCAGCGACGCCGCGUGAGCGAUGAAGUAUUUCGGUAUGUAAAGCUCUAUCAGCAGGGAAGAAGAUGACGGUACCUGACUAAGAAGCCCCGGCUAACUACGUGCCAGCAGCCGCGGUAAUACGUAGGGGGCAAGCGUUAUCCGGAUUUACUGGGUGUAAAGGGAGCGUAGACGGCGAUGCAAGCCAGAUGUGAAAGCCCGGGGCUCAACCCCGGGACUGCAUUUGGAACUGUGUGGCUGGAGUGUCGGAGAGGCAGGCGGAAUUCCUAGUGUAGCGGUGAAAUGCGUAGAUAUCAGGAGGAACACCGGUGGCGAAGGCGGCCUGCUGGACUGCGACUGACGUUGAGGCCCGAAAGCGUGGGGAGCAAACAGGAUUAGAUACCCGGGUA